rnacentral:rRNA from 1 species
UACGUAGGUGGCGAGCGUUGUCCGGAAUUACUGGGUGUAAAGCGCGCGUAGGCGGGAGGCCAAGUCCGCUGUGAAAUCGCCCGGCUCAACUGGGCGCGGUCGGUGGAAACUGGUCACCUGGAGGACGGUAGAGGCGAGUGGAAUUCCCGGUGUAGUGCUGAAAUGCGUAGAGAUCGGGAGGAACACCAGUGGCGAAGGCGGCUCGCUGGGCCGGCCCUGACGCUGAGGCGCGAAGGCGUGGGGAGCGAGCGGG